rnacentral:rRNA from 1 species
ACUGCUUUCUGGCUAUAGGCCUUACACACGCUAGUCGACCGUCCCUGCAGUAAGUGCUUCUUCUUUCGUGUGGCCAGUGUCGGACUGGGCCGGUUUCCCUCGUACUCUUCUUUUUCGUGGGGGAGUUCUUAGGCUCCCUUACUCUAAUACCGUAUACGUUCUACACGUCUACGCAGGGGAUCUUCAGUUCUCGUCCCAUCUCAUCAGCCGAUGUCGUAUGAGUUAGUUGGCGGGGUCAGGGCGCGCUAAGGCGACGCGCCGUAGCUGGUCUGAGAGGAUGAUCAGCCACACUGGAACUGAGACACGGUCCAGACUCCUAAGGGAGGCAGCAGUGGGGAAUAUUGGACAAAGGGCGCAAGCCUGAGCCAGCCAUACCGCGUGGGUGAAGAAGGCCUUCGGGUUGUAAAGCCCUUUUGUUGGGAAAGAAAAGCAGCAGGUUAAUACCCCGCUGUUCUGACGGUACCCAAAGAAUAAGCACCGGCUAACUUCGUG